CCAGUAUGCAGUUCAUUCAAUGCUCUGUCUAAACGCAUGGAGCUACUGGGGUGACAUUGUAGUAUAUGGAAUAAGAUUGAGAGGAAUGAAAGAAGUUAUAAUUCAACUGUCAAUUGCUGCUUUUCUGUGCAUAGGGAGAAAGCACAGGCUACAGUAUGGAAGUAGACACAGCUUUCCUUAUUUCAGUAUUGAUGCAUUUCAGUAUUGCUCUCUAUAGACACACAAGAUGUGUGGACAUGUAUUUCACAGAGAUGCUCAACUGCAAUGCAGAAAAGGACUUGCAUGGACAUUUUAAAGGAGAGGCAUUGUUCUCCCCUAAACUGGGUAUAAAUAACUUCAUAAAUAUGUUUAAAUGUUAAACAGUCUAUUUAUUGUAUAUAUAUUUAAUUGAAGUUUACUUUGGUUUCCCACAAGUUUGAUUGGAGUGAACAUGCAUCUAUUAGGCUAAAGAUUAAACUCUUGAGAAUCAAGGAAAAUAAAGUGCCUCUUAUCAAGUUCUUAAGAAUAAUAACAUGUGGUAUACAUUUUCAAACGGUCUUUUAAUUGUAUGUUCUUGGUCAAGGUUUAUUUACUAUUAUUAAGUUCAGUGUGAAUCCUAUAAAUGUUUCAAUAUGGUGUCGCUUCAUUAUAUUGAUUGAAAAUUAUAUUUAGUGGAGACUUGAGAGGAAAAUACAUUGCAAAACAUAUUGCAUCUUAUGUUCUCUUUGAUAAUAAUUUGGUUCUAUAAUAAAUAAAUCAAAACAUUUCUCACAAAAGGAGAACUUGGUUAGAUUACCUAUGGCUAUAGAUAUUCAUGAUUCGUUCAUUUCAUUAACCCAGGACGACCAGAAUAAAUCAGAUGUGCUAGACUGUAGUAGGGUUCAUUCUCUUUUGGGUGAAGUAGACUGUAGUAGGGUUCAUUCUCUUUUGGGUGAAGUAGACUGUAGUAGGGUUCAUUCUCUUUUGGGUGAAAUAGACUGUAGUAGGGUUCAUUCUUUUGCAAAUUAAAGGUGGCCUGAUUCCUAUGGUAAUGCCAACAUGCAAAAAGAACUGUAAACCUUUGGAGAACAUACAAUAUAAGAAUAAAUACAACGGUUUAUAUCCA
ensembl:lncRNA